UGGAAUCAAGGCGCCUCCGGGGUCACGGGCGCGAGGACUCCCCAGGAGGUGAUCGCUCUCUGCAGGUUUGUUUGUUGUGCCUCCUCUGAAACGACGCCAUCAGAUCCCACUGUGCAUCAAAUCGCCUGCUGUCUUAUUUUAAAACCCCAAUUUCCUAUUGUUUACCGUCGCAUCAGCGCCAUCAAAGCCUGUACCAGAGACUCAGAACCAAUUUCUUUAGAAAUCCGUCCCGCUUUAAUAAAGUCAAAUAGAAAAAUAAGAUGGGAGGCAAAGCGUAGGUAUGAAAUUAUGAGAAAUAAGAAGAAGGAGACAAUUACAUCCCACUGCUCCAAGUAAAAGACUAGUUCAGCUGCAGUUUGGAGACAUCCACCCACUGAAUAUAUAUAUUUAAAUCAUUUAUGUCAAACACAACUCACACUUGUCAUUCUGCUGCAAACUUGCAUCAACAACCAUCAAACGAACGUGCUGCUUUGUUCUGUCACAGUGAAAUAACAUUUAGUGCGUGACUCUUUCCAGUAGCGGCGGAAGCAGAGCUGUGACUCAGACCUGGUCUCACCUCAUCCUCAGUCACAGGCAGCUUCCAGUGCUGCUGGUUCCACGGCCUCGUUCUGCAGCGUCAGCAGGUUUCACGUCCAGCGCAGACGGAACCCGGACGAGGUUCUGUAAAUGAGGAGGGACGAGACGUGCGCUCCUGCGUUGCCUCAUGUUGGCAGCCUGUUGCGUGAUGCUGCGUUCAGUGACACCAGCGCACUCACUCACUCACUGACUACAGGUUGCAGCAGCAGUCGUCAUCUGCGCCGCCUAAUGAGGUUCAGCGCCUCCUCUGACGCCACCACACUCUGUCGAGAAACGAAGGAUGGUAACGAGAGCGGGGUCAAAGAUGCGUCGACAGCGAGGAGAUAGUGAGUAAUAGAAGCAUAAACAACGUGAGCGCAGAGAGACAGGCGGUUUCUGCUGCUGCAGGAGAUAAGACCCAGGUCUGCAGAUAAGUCUGGAGCCUGAGCUUCUGUCUGCACUGGAACAGAGUCCAGGAGGCAGAAACCGUCUCUGUGGAACAGAAGAACCCCGCGUCAGCGUCAGCGACGGAACCAUGAGGGCUGUUUGUCUGACUCAGCACAGACGAGGUUCAUUAACAUCGCGCAGAGAAAAGCCUUUUGAAGUCACAAUGAUAUUUUCUCAUUUCCAAACUUAACUUCGAGACUGCGUUUGUGUGUUACCAAUAUUUGACUUCUACAGGAGAUUAAAAUAAGUUAUUUUAAGUCAAAGUGCUGCAGUAACAUUUGUGUUACAAUAAUUAAACUAGUUAAUGACAACCCUCCCUGCAGACCUGACAUUUAGAACUGUUUGAAUGCUGUAAUGUAAACGUAACUAUUAUCUGGACUUAAUUCAAGGUGGACGACGAGCUGUUUGUGGUCACGUGUCCUCCAACACCAACGUUAGAGCUGGAAACGGAGGUCCUGACGCUCGGCGCUUCUUUAAGGAGCGUUUGUCAGCGGGCGUUUGAUCGGCCGUGAAGCCGCUGUAGAGGUCAAUGGGUCAAUGCAAACAGUGGGAUGAACAGGAUGAAGUCAGUCUGGUUCCGCCCAGAACCUUCUCCACCGCUCAGUUCUCUGCAUUUGCUGUAAGCGAACAAAGUGCCUGUGAUUUUGACUGUAAUUAUUUAAUCAGCUGUGCAAUAGUUGCAAUUACAGGAAGCGAUGAGCUGCUUGAAUGCAUAAAGAUCCUGCUGCUAAUUGUGCAGACAAAGACUCAGCAGUCAUUAAAGGUUCUAUCUCACACCA